rnacentral:rRNA from 1 species
UUCCAGACUCCUACGGGAGGCAGCAGUGGGGGAUAUUGCACAAUGGGGGCAACCCUGAUGCAGCGACGCCGCGUGAGCGAUGGAGUACUUCGGUAUGUAAAGCUCUGUCAGCAGGGAAGAGAAUGACGGUACCUGACCAAGAAGCCCCGGCUAAAUACGUGCCAGCAGCCGCGGUAAUACGUAUGGGGCAAGCGUUAUCCGGAUUUACUGGGUGUAAAGGGAGCGUAGACGGCAGCACAAGUCUGGAGUGAAAUCCCGGGGCUUAACCCCGGAACUGCUUUGGAAACUGUGCGGCUGGAGUGCAGGAGGGGUAAGCGGAAUUCCUAGUGUAGCGGUGAAAUGCGUAGAUAUUAGGAGGAACACCGGUGGCGAAGGCGGCUUACUGGACUGUAACUGACGUUGAGGCUCGAAAGCGUGGGGAGCAAACAGGAUUAGAUACCCUGGUA